GUCAGGCGGGGCCACCCGCCGAGUU
rnacentral:rRNA from 2 species